UUGACAUGUCCUGAACCCCGGUGAGAGCUGGGGUGCCCGAAAGGGAACGGAACACAGGUGCUGCAUGGCUGUCGUCAGCUCGUGUCGUGAGAUGUUGGGUUAAGUCCCGCAACGAGCGCAACCCUUGUCAUUAGUUGCUACAUUCAGUUGGGCACUCUAAUGAGACUGCCGGUGACAAACCGGAGGAAGGUGGGGAUGACGUCAAGUCCUCAUGGCCCUUAUGGGUAGGGCUUCACACGUAAUACAAUGGCGCGUACAGAGGGUUGCCAAGGGGUGACCUGGAGCCAAUCCCGCAAAGCGCGUCGUAGUCCGGAUUGCAGUCUGCAACUCGACUGCAUGAAGUCGGAAUCGCUAGUAAUCGCGGAUCAGCAUGUCGCGGUGAAUACGUUCCCGGGUCUUGUACACACCGCCCGUCACACCAUGGGAGUGGGUUUCACCAGAAGCCGGUCGCCUAACCGCAAGGGGGGCGCCGACCACGGUGAGAUUCAUGACUGGGGUGAAGUCGUAACAAGGUAAGCGUAGUGCU
rnacentral:rRNA from 1 species